UUUGGUGGCGAUAGCGAAGAGGUCACACCCGUUCCCAUACCGAACACGGAAGUUAAGCUCUUCAGCGCCGAUGGUAGUUGGGGGUUUCCCCCUGUGAGAGUAGGACGCUGCCAAGC
rnacentral:rRNA from 1 species